rnacentral:pre_miRNA from 1 species
CUUUCAAUGUUUCGGCCGGUGGUCCGGCCUUCAUCAGGAAAUCCUAUUGCUUUCCUGAUGAAGGCCGGACCACCGGCCGAAACGUUGAAAGUAAAAAG